GACGAACGCUGGCGGCGUGCUUAACACAUGCAAGUCGAACGAAGUGGCGAACGGGUGAGUAAUACGUGGGUAACCCGCCCUCUUUUAUGGGAUAAGCCUUGGACACGGGGUCUAAUUCCGAAUAAGGGGGGCUGGGCUCGCGGCCUAUGAGCUUGGUGGUGGGGUAAUGGCCUACCAAGGCGGUGACGGGUAGCCGGCCUGAGCGGGUGACCGGCAACAUUGGGACUGAGAUACGGCACAGACUCCUACGGGAGGCAGCAGUGGGGGAUAUUGCACAAUGGGCGAAAGCCUGAGGCAGCGACGCCGCGUGGAUGAAGAAGGCCUUAGGAUGGUAAAUUACUGUUAGCGGGGAAACGGUACCCGAAGAAGAAGCACCGGCUAACUCCGUGCCAGCAGCCGCGGUAAUUC
rnacentral:rRNA from 1 species